CUCAGCAUUUAAGCUGCCCCUGUCCAAUGAUGGCUGAUCUUGGAAAUUAAGUAGGGUCAGGACUUGGUUAGUACUUGGAUGGGAGACCACCUAGAAAUUCAUGGCAAUGUCAGC
rnacentral:rRNA from 1 species